UACGUAGGGUGCAAGCGUUGUCCGGAAUUAUUGGGCGUAAAGAGCUCGUAGGCGGUCUGUCGCGUCGGCUGUGAAAACCUGAGGCUCAACCCCGGGCCUGCAGCCGAUACGGGCAGACUAGAAUUCGGUAGGGGAGACUGGAAUUCCUGGUGUAGCGGUGAAAUGCGCAGAUAUCAGGAGGAACACCGGUGGCGAAGGCGGGUCUCUGGGCCGAUACUGACGCUGAGGAGCGAAAGCGUGGGGAGCGAACAGG
rnacentral:rRNA from 1 species